UACGUAGGGGGCAAGCGUUGUCCGGAAUCAUUGGGCGUAAAGAGCGUGUAGGCGGCUCGAUAAGUCUGCUGUGAAAGUCCAGGGCUCAACCCUGGAAGGCCGGUGGAAACUGUCGGGCUAGAGUCCGGAAGAGGCGAGUGGAAUUCCCGGUGUAGCGGUGAAAUGCGCAGAUAUCAGGAGGAACACCUAUUGCGAAGGCAGCUCGCUGGGACGUAACUGACGCUGAGACGCGAAAGCGUGGGGAGCAAACAGG
rnacentral:rRNA from 1 species